rnacentral:rRNA from 1 species
UACGAAGGGGGCUAGCGUUGUUCGGAAUUACUGGGCGUAAAGCGCACGUAGGCGGACUAUUAAGUCAGGGGUGAAAUCCUGGAGCUCAACUCCAGAACUGCCUUUGAUACUGGCGACCUUGAGUCCGGGAGAGGUGAGUGGAACUGCGAGUGUAGAGGUGAAAUUCGUAGAUAUUCGCAAGAACACCAGUGGCGAAGGCGGCUCACUGGCCCGGUACUGACGCUGAGGUGCGAAAGCGUGGGGAGCAACAGG